GGGGAACUGAACACUUGGAGGCCAACAGGAAGGUGAAGAAGAACUCAUUCGUGUGCUGGGAGGGUGGCACACCCCAACUCCACAGGGACAGAAGCUCUUGCACUCAGGACCCUUUCAGAGCUGGCCCUGUGUAUGUCGUUAUCUGGCUGUUUAUUUGUAUCUUUUAAAAUCUACUUUGUAAUAAACUGGUGAAGAAUGAAAGCCAGAGGUUCAUAGAGAUAGGUGAUCAGGAAACAGAAUCCUCACUCUUAGCAGUGGUGAGGCCUCUAGGCUGGCUCACCUUAUGCUUCAGUGGCUCUGUGUGGAGGAUGAGGAUGAAUUGGAUGUACACGAUGGAGGAUAGAAGACCAGCAUGUGCUGGGGAGGACCACACCUGCUUUCUUUUCUGUUGGAGGAAUUUUGGGUGUGUGCAG
rnacentral:lncRNA from 1 species